rnacentral:tRNA from 1 species
GUUCUUGUAGUUGAAGAUACAACAUUGGUUUUUCGAGUCAGUGGUCUAGAGGGCAGUCUAGCAAGAACU